UGGGGAAUAUUGCACAAUGGAGGGAACUCUGAUGCAGCGACGCCGCGUGAACGAAGAAGGCUUUCGAGUCGUAAAGUUCUUUUAUAUGGGAAGAUAAUGACGGUACCAUAAGAAAAAGCCCCGGCUAACUACGUGCCAGCAGCCGCGGUAAUACGUAGGGGGCUAGCGUUGUCCGGAAUCACUGGGCGUAAAGGGUUCGCAGGCGGAAAUGCAAGUCAGGUGUAAAAGGCAGUAGCUUAACUACUGUAAGCAUUUGAAACUGCAUAUCUUGAGAAGAGUAGAGGUAAGUGGAAUUUUUAGUGCAGCGGUGAAAUGCGUAGAUAUUAAAAAGAAUACCGGUGGCGAAGGCGACUUACUGGGCUCAUUCUGACGCUGAGGAACGAAAGCGUGGGUAGCAAACAGG
rnacentral:rRNA from 1 species